rnacentral:rRNA from 1 species
UCAGACGAUGCGUCAUGCAUAUCAAUAAGCGGAGGAAAAGAAACUAACAAGGAUUCCCCUAGUAACGGCGAGUGAAGCGGGAAGAGCUCAAAUUUGAAAUCUUAAAGGGUUUCCCUUUACGAAUUGUAGUUUAAAGAAGUGUUUUCUGUUGAGGUUUUGGUAAAAGUUCUUUGGAAUAGGACAUCAUAGAGGGUGAGAAUCCCGUAUUUGACCUUUACUUUCAACUUUGUGAUACACUUUCGAAAGAGUCGGAUCGUUUGGGAAUGCAGUCCAAAAUGGGUGGUAAAUUUCAUCUAAAGCUAAAUAUUGGCGAGAGACCGAUAGCGAACAAGUACCGUGAGGGAAAGAUGAAAAGAACUUUGAAAAGAGAGUUAAACAGUACGUGAAAUUGUCAAAAGGGAAGCGUUUGACACCAGUGUUGUUUUUCUGAAAAUCAAUUAAAGAACUGUUUAUGCUAAGUUGUUUAGACUUUAUCAGCUAUCUGUUUAGUUUUGAGCUUUUCUUUAAUGCACUUUUCAGUUAACAAGUCAACAUCAAUUUCCUUUUGCUGUAAAAAAGCUUGAGGAAGGUGGCUUGAGAUUCGUCUUAAGUGUUUAUAGCCUCUUGCCUAUGCAGUCGGAGAGAUUGAGGUCUGCAGCGUAGAUCCUUCGGGGCUAAAUGCAUUUGUGCUAAGUUAUAGCAUUUUAUAGACAACUUGUUGACUAUGAUUUGUCUUGUAGCUUACUCGCUUAUGUUAUUUUACCUACGCUUAGGAUGUUGAAUCUGUGCGAGACUAC